ACANGANGANGNCUGACGCAGCGACGCCGCGNUGAAGUGAUGAAGGCCUUAGGGUCGUAAAGCUCUGUUGAAUGGGAAGAAAAAAAUGACGGUACCAUUCGAGGAAGGACCGGCUAACUUCGUGCCAGCAGCCGCGGUAAUACGAGGGGUCCUAGCGUUGUUCGGAAUCAUUGGGCGUAAAGGGUGUGUAGGUGGCUAUGUAAGUCAGGUGUGAAAGCCCCGGGCUCAACCCGGGAAGUGCAUCUGAUACUGCGUAGCUUGAGUACCGAAGAGGAUAGUGGAAUUCCAGGUGUAGUGGUGAAAUACGUAGAUAUCUGGAGGAACACCGGUGGCGAAGGCGGCUAUCUGGUCGAGUACUGACACUGAGACACGAAAGCAUGGGGAUCAAACAGGAUUAGAUACCCUGGUAGUCCAUGCCGUAAACGAUGGGUACUUGGUGUUGGAGGUAUUGACCCCUUCAGUGCCGAAGCUAACGCGUUAAGUACCCCGCCUGGGGAGUACGGUCGCAAGAUUAAAACUCAAAGAAAUUGACGGGGGCCCGCACAAGCGGUGGAGCAUGUGGUUUAAUUCGAUGCAACGCGAAAAACCUUACCUAGGCUCGAAAUGCAAUGGAAUAUAGCAGAAACGUUAUAGUCUUCGGACCGCUGUAUAGGUGCUGCAUGGCUGUCGUCAGCUCGUGUCGUGAGAUGUUGGGUUAAGUCCCGCAACGAGCGCAACCCCUACCUUUAGUUGCCAGCAUUAAGUUGGGCACUCUAGAGGGACUGCCGACGUUAAGUCGGAGGAAGGUGGGGAUGACGUCAAGUCCUCAUGGCCCUUAUGUCUAGGGCUACACACGUGCUACAAUGGUUGGUACAAACGGUUGCUUAGCAGUAAUGUGAAGCUAACCCGAAAAAGCCA
rnacentral:rRNA from 1 species